AGCCCAUCCGCUAGCAUAAUCUCAAAAAGCAAGUUAGCUUGACUUGGCUGCUUGCACUUGCCGAGCAUUACCAAAAGCUUAGCAUAUGUAUGGCAUCUUGGCUCAUACCAAUGUUGCUUGCGAAGAAGGUCGAAAAUCUUAAGAGCAGAGUCCCAGCGAUUGUCCCUAAUAGCAUCAUCGAGAGCCUUCAGAACGGCCUUGGGCCAAAGAUUAGUGUAUUUUUCUGAGUUGGCUUUCCUGUGGAUACCUCUAAUGGCGGCUUCUGUUCUAAGUAUACGAGAAAGGUUUUUCUUUGAACAUUUCUGCAGCCCUUGUGAAGUACUACUGCUUGAUGAUUUGAUAAUCAAACCUCGCCGUUUUAUACCUUCUUUCAUCAAAUA
rnacentral:misc_RNA from 1 species